rnacentral:rRNA from 1 species
UACGUAGGGUGCAAGCGUUGUCCGGAAUUAUUGGGCGUAAAGAGCUCGUAGGCGGUUUGUCGCGUCUGCUGUGAAAUCUGGGGGCUCAACCCCCAGCCUGCAGUGGGUACGGGCAGACUAGAGUGCGGUAGGGGAGAUUGGAAUUCCUGGUGUAGCGGUGGAAUGCGCAGAUAUCAGGAGGAACACCGAUGGCGAAGGCAGAUCUCUGGGCCGUAACUGACGCUGAGGAGCGAAAGCAUGGGGAGCGAACAGGA